GGGAGUGUGGUGAAAAUGGUAAACACAUUUGAUUUAGGAUCAGAGUUUUGCAGGUUCAAGUCCUGUCGCUCUUA
rnacentral:tRNA from 1 species